rnacentral:lncRNA from 1 species
GAAGAAGAAGGGUAAAGCUCCCGCAGUCACUGAAAAGGAAAAAGAGAAAUGAAAAGAAAAAGGAAAAGGGAAAGGAAAAGGUGCUGAAAAGGGAAAAGGCAAAGCCGGAGAUCAAGGGGCAGAUACGGGAGGUCGAAGGAAGUCGGGUGGUGUCGAGAUUAGAGAGCCAGUUUCUGAGCCUCCGCGAUAUUCUGUUCAGGA